rnacentral:lncRNA from 1 species
CAAAGAUGACGUGAAUCAGCCAAGCUUUACUUGCUAGAAGUAGGAACACAAAUGUUUUUAAAUCAGAUCCUAUAACUGGAUGUUCAAGAACCAAAUGGCGGGCAGAUUUUCAAUCCCGGGACCAUUCUGAUUCCAAAAAGCCACCCCCUCAAACGUAGCCGAUUGGUACAUUACAACUACAUUACAAUGAUAACAAUAUAACUUAUAGAGAGAGGAAUCAUAAACUAUCAGAACCAGAAUGGUGGAGUGUAGCUGUGAUACACGUCGAAAAAUACAAACGCAUUGAAGCUAACACAAAGUUCAACGACGAUUAUAUUUGCAGCAGUAUCGACUUCAUCCACGGCAUUGUCAUCACCAGAUCAGUAUCAUCGUCAUCACCGUCGUCCUCGUCGUCUUUGUCAUCUUCGUUGACAUUAUCAACAUUUCCAAAGAAGUAAUAAUUAGUGUUACAGUUAAACAGCGGACAAAAUGAUCGACGUCGAUUCUCUACUGGUCAGUUUGAAACCAAAAGGUUUCUUCCAGGUCACCCAAUAUCUGGUCACAGACGUUUCCAUGAUUCCUUUUGCUAUUGCAUUGCUGAAGAUUGUAUUUAUCGGUUCAAUUCCCACUUCCAGAUGUGCUAAUUUGAACAUAUCUCAGUUAUACGACUAUGGCUACGAAAGCAAUGACACUCACGACGUAGUGUACGGAAAAUGUCAUAUAAGAAUAAUCAGUCGGAGCAGUAAGAGUUCGAACCGCACAUUAACAUGUAUAAACGGAUAUGCUUACGAUGAAGGAAAACAUCAAUCUUUUGUA